CUUGACCGAGCCCAGCCACAACGGCUCCGCGCGGUCCUGCCCGUAGGUCGCCAGCAGCUCCUGGGCCUC
rnacentral:antisense_RNA from 1 species